CCCCUAGAUGUCCUGGGCCGCACGCGUGCUACACUGACGCCUACAGCGAGUACUUCCCAGCCCCGAGAGGCGGCUGGUAAUCAGCAAUAGGCGUCGUGAUGGGGAUAGAUCUUUGGAAUUCUGGAUCUUGAACGAGGAAUGCCUAGUAAGCGCAGGUCAUUAGCCUGCGCUGAUUACGUCCCUGCCCUUUGUACACACCGCCCGUCGCUCCUACCGAUUUCGAGUGGUCCGGUGAAUCUUUCGGACUGCGCGCAGCUUCGUGCCGUGUCGCGGAAAGUCAGGUAAACCUAAUCACUUAGAGGAAGGACAAGUCGUAACA
rnacentral:rRNA from 1 species